rnacentral:rRNA from 1 species
UCGCAAGAUUAAAACUCAAAGGAAUUUGACCGGGGACCCGCACAAGCGGUGGAGCAUGUUCUUUAAUUCGAAGCAACGCGAAGAACCUUACCUACACUUGACAUCCCUCUUGGGACUUUCAGAGAUGAUUGUCUUCGGUUCGGCCGGGGAGGUGACAGGUGCUGCACGGCUGCCGUCAGCUCGUGUCGUGAGAUGUUUGGUUAAGUCCAGCAACGAGCGCAACCCCUAUCGUAUGUUGCCAGCAUUUAGUUGGGCACUCAUGCGAGACUGCCGGUGUUAAGCCGGAGGAAGGUGGGGACGACGUCAAGUCAUCAUGGCCCUUACGUGUAGGGCUAGAAACGUGCUACAAUGGGAGUGACAGUGGGCAGCGAGGUCGUGAGGCCAAGCUAAUCCCUAAAAGCUUUCUCAGUUCGGAUUGUACUCUGCAACUCGAGUGCAUGAAGUUGGAAUCGCUAGUAAUCGUGGAUCAGCAUGCCACGGUGAAUACGUUCCCGGGUCUUGUACACACCGCCCGUCACACCAUGGGAGUUGGUUUUACCCGAAGGCCGUGUGCUAACUACGGAGGCAGCGGACCACGGUAGGAUCAGCGACUGGGGUGAAGUCGUAACAAGGUAGCCGUA